CCUACGGGAGGCAGCAGUGAGGAAUAUUGGUCAAUGGCCGGAAGGCUGAACCAGCCAUGCCGCGUGAAGGUCAGUGCCCUAUGGGCGUUUAACUUCCUUUGUGCGGGAGCAAUAAUGGUCACGUGUGGCCAGACGAGAGUACCGUACGAAUUAGCAUCGGCUAACUCCGGGCCAGCAGCCGCGGUAAUACGGGGGAUGCAAGCGUUAUCCGGAUUUACUGGGUGUAAAGGGAGCGCAGGCGGCACGGUAAGCCUGAUGUGAAAGCCCGCGGCCCAACCGCGGGACUGCAGUGGGAACUACCGGGCUGGAGUGCCGGAGAGGUAGGCGGAAUUCCUGGUGUAGCGGUGAAAUGCGUAGAUAUUAGGAGGAACACCAGUGGCGAAGGCAGCCUACUGGACGGUGACUGACGCUGAGGCUCGAAAGCGUGGGGAGCAAACAGGAUUAGAUACCCCAGUAGUC
rnacentral:rRNA from 1 species